GCGUUGGUGGUUCAGUGGUAGAAUCCUCUCUUCCACGAGGGAGACCCAGGUUUGAUUCCUGGCCAGUGUG
rnacentral:tRNA from 1 species